rnacentral:rRNA from 1 species
UAGGGAAUAUUGGACAAUGGGUGAGAGCCUGAUCCAGCCAUGCCGCGUGCAGGAAGAAGGCGUUAUGCGUUGUAAACUGCUUUUGCCAGGGGAUAAAAAGACCGUGCGCGGUUAAUUGAAGGUACCUGGUGAAUAAGCCACGGCUAACUACGUGCCAGCAGCCGCGGUAAUACGUAGGGUGCAGGCGUUAAUCGGAAUUACUGGGCGUAAAGCGUGCGCAGGCGGCUCCUUAAGUCAGAUGUGAAAUCCCCGGGCUUAACCUGGGAACUGCGUUUGAAACUGAGGGGCUAGAGUGUGGAAGAGGGGGUGGAAUUCCAGGUGUAGCAGUGAAAUGCGUAGAGAUCUGGAGGAACACCGAUGGCGAAGGCAGCCCCCUGGGCUAACACUGACGCUCAUGCACGAAAGCGUGGGGAGCAAACAGGAUUAGAUACCCUUGUAGUCCCUGAGCGGGCUGGCAAGGCGCAU